UGGGGAAUAUUGGACAAUGGGCGCAAGCCUGAUCCAGCCAUGCCGCGUGAGUGACGAAGGUCUUCGGAUUGUAAAGCUCUUUUGGCGGGGACGAUAAUGACGGUACCCGCAGAAUAAGCCCCGGCUAACUUCGUGCCAGCAGCCGCGGUAAUACGAAGGGGGCUAGCGUUGUUCGGAAUCACUGGGCGUAAAGCGCACGUAGGCGGAUUUGUUAGUCAGGGGUGAAAUCCCGGGGCUCAACCUCGGAACUGCCUCUGAUACUGCAAAUCUCGAGUCCGAUAGAGGUGAGUGGAAUUCCUAGUGUAGAGGUGAAAUUCGUAGAUAUUAGGAAGAACACCAGUGGCGAAGGCGGCUCACUGGAUCGGUACUGACGCUGAGGUGCGAAAGCGUGGGGAGCAAACAGGAUUAGAUACCCACGUAGUCCCUGAGCGGGCUGGCAAGGCGCAU
rnacentral:rRNA from 1 species